CCGCAACUCCCGUAGUAACAUCAAUUUCUUCGAUUCUUUUACCAAAGCUCCAAUUCCUUGACCAAAGUUUAUGAGCAACAUACAAAACAAGGAAAAUUGGCAAAGUGAUGUAGGCAGCAAUGAAGUUACCGGCGGUGAAGGUAUGACCAACGAAGACAGUAAAUCCAUUAGUAAGAGUAAUCAAUGCAAGCAAGAACAAAGUAAGGUAAGUAGCAUAUGGUUGAAAAGGGGUUUUAUAAGGACGAGUUUCCCACAAAUUGUUCAAAAUCAUAGCCUUUCGGAAUUGAAGAUAGGCUACCAAAACACAGAUCCAAGCUAAAAAUCCUGAAAUGGUAGAGAGAUUACAAAACCAAUUAAAUACAACAGCUGCCGAUGCGGAAGCAUUUAAAAAGGCUAGACAUGCAAAAAGGACGGUUACUGCAACAGAUAUAACAGGAACACCCCAUCGGUUACAGUACUUAAAUAUUUUCGGAGCCUGAUGUUCUUUUGCUAAAGAAUAGAUAGAUCUUGAUCCAGCAAAAAGGAAAGAAUUUCCAGAUGAACAAGCUGAAGUCAAAAUUACGGCGUUAAUAAUGUGAUUCAACACAGGAAUUUCAGCAUUUUGAAUUCCAAUAACAAAAGGGGAGGCAGCAGCUCCACUAGCUCCACUAGAAAUAGCGUUCAAAAGACGAGGAUCUUUUGAAGAGGUUAUCACACCAAUAGUUAAAGAGCCAAAAAUGUAGAAGAAGAUUAACCUGUAAAUGAAUCUGCUAGUGGCUUUAGGGAUGUUACGCCUUGGGGCUUCGGUUUCACCGGCUGAAAAGAUGACAAGCUCGGGAGCUAAAAUAAAAGCAAACCCACUUUUAAUCACGGCACUCCAAAAUCCUACAAAUCGACCGGAAGCGCCUUUGACAAUAUAUUCUCGAAAGGCGAGGCCAUGCUUCCAAUAGCGAAAACCCAAGCGAUCAUGUUUUGGCGUACCACCAAAAAAGAUGACAACUCCCAAAAUAAUUAAUCCCACAAUUGCAAUAACUUUAAUAAUGGCAAACCAAAACUCAGUUUCACCAAACCAUUUUACGAAAAAGGAGUUAAGAACAGCAACAAGGAAAAGCAAUAUGGCAAUCCAACCUGCGGUGGGAACGGCAUAAGUCCAAUAUUCAAUAACAAUACUAGCAGCCGUUACUUCGCUAGCUACAAGGAAGACGUACGCAUACCAAUAAUUCCAUCCGGCUGCAAAAGCUAAUGAAGCAUCGACAUAUCUUUCAAUAUAAGUGAUAGGAGACGCACCACUUAAUGGUAGAUAAGUACACAUUUCUCCCAAGGCAUUCAUAACUGUCCAAAUCACAAAAGACAUAAUCACAUAUGAUAAAAAUAAUGAAGCAGGGCCAGAUUCUGAAAGCGCAGAACCAGAUCCAACGAAAAGACCAGUACCAAUACAUCCUCCGAUGGCAAUUAACUGUACGUGCCGAGAUUUCAAAGCACGUUUAGUUUCUCCGUACUUCUUUUCAACGUCGAUGCCACCAACAGAGACCAAUUCAAUAUCAGUAAUCUCUUCGGCCCUCUUACUUUCUUCAUACUGCAACGCCUUUUUUUCAUCCAUCUUGAAUUAAAUUUGCAAUAUGCAAAUCAAUGAAAAAAGACUAUUGUCGUCCUUCAACAUUUUUCUCUAAAGAGCAGACGAAUCUUAUAUACAAACUCAUUGACCUUUUGUUAUCUGAAGCUUCUUGCUACAUGACCUAAUGAAAAAAACUUUUUUUGCAGCAUUUAAGCGGCGGCCAACGAUAAGCAGUAUUCCGGAUAUUUACAAUCAGCAUCGUUAAGUAACGGAAGUUACAAAAGCGGCUGGUAUUUCUCGCUCACUUAGAAAAGCGAUUCUUUAGUGAGACAAAGCUCUUAUCAGCCAGCACCAAACAGCUGUUGUAGUGAUAUAUACAGCAGUGCUGAUAAGAGUACACUUUCCCACUAUAACGCUUGCGGAAAUUUUAGUCUACACGGGGUUUUAUUUGUAGAAAACCGGAGAUAUAAAAACUACUAACAAACUAGUUGGAGCGAUAUGAAUAGCAGACAUUGAAUUACACUAACAACCAAAAAUAAAUAGGGCUUGGUUAGAACUUAUUUUGUUCUUGAACUUUUUACUAGUUUCAUAUUCAACAGUUUUUUAUAAAAUGAGAUUGACUGAGUUAUUUAUACAUAG